rnacentral:rRNA from 1 species
UUCUUCCUCUUCAAGAUGAAGGCGUCCGCCAAGAAAGCGCGCGUAUCAUGGUGGAUGAAGAAGUACGACAUGUUCCCUCCGGAGCGGCCGGGGUACACCUGCGCCUUGCGGGUCGCGCGCCUGGUGAUCGCACUGGACGGCGGGUUCCGGCUGGAGCAGGCGGGGGAGGGCCGGUAGCCCGGUGCUCUGUCCUACCACGCCGACACGAGUUACAGGGAGUUUUCACGUCCCAAAGAAGGCGUCUUCAAAGAGGGCCCCAGGGAGGUCGCCGUGAUCCAGAGGCUGCCCGGCGGCGAGGGGAUUUCCAUCAUGUCUCAUGUGGUGGGGCUCGGUGUCAAGCUUUGUGACAUUCUCUUUGUGCUGCACUGCUGGUCCGUGACAGUCGCCCUGAGCUUCACCGAGCGGGACUUCUAUGUCACUUCCAAGUUGAAGGAGGAAUCAUUGUACGCCAGCGCCGAUCUUGAUUUCAUAGACAUUACGGUCCCUGUUGAGAAUCUGAUCAAGAAGCUUUACCAGAUGUAUGAGCUGGAGGAGCGAGAUAAACAGAAAAUGCAGAACAAUCAAGGUGAUCAGGAGGCAGAAGAGCUGAGGUGCCAGGAGGUUCAGAAAAGGAAGAAACUGGAAGUCCGACAGAGGAGAAGGGCUGAGAGGAAGAAAUAUGAUGGCCUGCGUAAGGAGAUGAAGAGUAUGGUUUGA